AUGAAUAAGAGAUACUUGCAGAAAGCAACAAAAGGAAAACUGCUAAUAAUAAUCUUUAUUGUCACCUUGUGGGGGAAAGUUGUAUCCAGUGCAAACCAUCAUAAAGCUCACCAUGUUAAAACAGGAACUUGCGAGGUGGUGGCGCUCCACAGAUGCUGUAAUAAGAACAAGAUAGAAGAGCGAUCACAAACAGUGAAGUGCUCCUGUUUUCCAGGGCAGGUGGCCGGCACCACAAGAGCUGCCCCGUCUUGUGUGGAUGCUUCCAUAGUGGAACAGAAAUGGUGGUGUCAUAUGCAGCCAUGUUUGGAGGGAGAAGAAUGUAAAGUCCUUCCAGAUCGGAAAGGAUGGAGCUGUUCUUCUGGGAAUAAAGUGAAAACAACUAGGGCAAACGUGUAAAACUCUUCAAGUUCGAAUGGAGAAGUAGAAAGAGAAGGUUUCUGCUGUGCCCGAUGGCAAUUUUUGAUUUUCCACAUUGAAAAGUAUUCAGGCUCCACGUUGGAGCACUAGUUGUGGCGAAUCCUCUAGAGUUGGUCGGAUUCUAAGGAAGGGACAGAAGUUUCCUUAAGAAGUAAAGAUUCAAAACACCUCCAGAAAUGAGUUCCUGUCUUGGUUUAUUUCUCCCAGAGCAGCAGGUAACCCAUUAAGCAAGGAUAAGUCUAAUGAUUGCCCCAGGCUGAUGACAAUGAACACAGGCAUAGACACAUGACUCCUGAGGUGAUCUUGAAGAUUUUUAUACUGCUCAGCAAAGACACUUUGGAGUCUAUUUCCAAGAGAUUCCAUGGCUUGUUAUCAGUCUCUUCCUGAACAUAAGACUAAUUCAGACAUGAACUUCCAUGUCAUACAGACUUCGUUGGGUUUGAAUCCUAUUCAACUUGUGACAUUGCUGAGGGAACUUGGAGCUGCUAUCUGCAGAGCUGGUGGACUGUUGGUGUUUUCAGGGUGACUUCAGAGACAAUCACCUUUUGGGUUCCUAGCUCCAGCUGUGACUGCUUUUCUUGUUUCUGAGAGCUGUCUCCUAAGUGCACUGUCCUUCUGUCAUAAAUGUGUUCCUGGGUCCUUCAUGCAUUGGCUAGUGGACUGUACACAGCUUUGAUGACAUUUCCUCUGGUGGCAUGAUGUACACCAAGACUCUUUAAUUGGUAUAUCAUAAUCUUGGAGCUCUGAAAGCCUACAUUUUAACAUCUUACAGUCGCUUUUGUUAAAGGAAUGGAAAUAUAUAUAUAUAUCCAUUUAUACUAAUUAUUGUUGGCAAGUAGUAGUAAUCCAAAUACAUCAAUCAUGUAAGAAUGUAUAGACAAGUUGACAUGUUUCCCCAAGGCUAACAUAAUACUGCAGCUUUCUGCAAGUUAAAUAAAUAGUAGUAAGAACUGGAUUACCAUUUUCAUUAUAGAAUACUUGGUACCUCUAGACCACUGUCAGAUCUUUUCAGUGUGUUUUUUUUUUUUUUAAGUAGGCCUUAAUUGUUUUUAUGUUUACUUUUGCUCUUCUCAUAAAUCAGUGGUGAGCCAUCAAGUUAGUGGGUAGUGUGUUCAGAUCAGAAAAUUCCCAGGGAUGCAUGUGAGCUUCUGAUUUCUUAGCUUGGAUGUUAUUCACUUAGAUUUCUUCUUAUAUUUUUUAAAAAAACUGACCUUUUUUUUUGGGGGGGUGUCAUUUUAAGAGUCUGUCUCUUGCUUGUUCCCAAUGACUGUUUGAAUGCUUAUAGAUUUGUUUGUUUGGUCUGUUGAUAGAAUAAAUUGUUCAUUUACCUUGGUCUCAAAGUUAUAAAUAUUUGCUUAUUGUUGUUUCUAGCCAAACAAUUUCACAGGCCAGUAUUUUGAUCAUCCUUUUUCAUAGCCAUUUUACCAUUGGUGAUUUUUAGUUCUAAAGGAUCAUCUUAUAAAUAUUUAAAGGCCUUAAACAUUUAUGUAUUUCUUUAUGGGUUAUUACAGAAUGUAUAAUUUUAUACUACAUUUAUUUUGCUUCAUUUGUGAAGUGGAGGGAGAGAACAAUGGAGACUACAUAGCCAUUUUGUAUUAAUAUUGUGUAAAACCAUGCUUUGAAGGAAUGUAAAGAGGGAUUUCUGCGUCUUAUCUGCUUCAGAUUAAUCAAAAGCUGCUUCAUAAAUGGUCCUUUCAGGAGUCUCACAAUGUUAGAGAAAGUGUGAAAUACUUUGUAUUGUUAAAACCUCCUGGCAUUUCCAGUUAAGUGUACAUGGGCUUGUAUGAUUGAGGCUUAUAUGUCCUAGAAUAUUUCAAUCUGUCACUUUGUACCAAUGUUGAAAGACCAAUAUAUUAACAAGAUUCUACUGGGAAGAACAACUAACACUGUAAAUUUUACUAAAAAUUAAGUUUGGAAAGUAUGUUUUUGACAUCGAACUGAAGUCUACUGACCCACAAAUACAUAGAAUGAAAUGGCUUCCUGUUUCCAUUUUAUGCAUCAAAUCAAUUAUAUUACUUCAAUUGGGUUUUGCAACCUACUAUAUGAAAGAAAGAACAUAAGAAAACAUAAAGAAAGGAAUAAGUUAUGCUGGAGUUUCUUCAUCAUUUAGAAUAUCAUUAAUUCCUUUAGAACAAAGUAGAAAACUAUAUUGUUUUGGAAAUUAUGGAUUUGUCCUGAGUUUGUUGGAAGUAUAGAUCAUGCUUCUCAUUUAAAGAAAAAAACAUGUCUUUAAAACAAUGCUGGAAAUUCUGUAUUAUAUACAAGUGUAAUACAUGCAUAUCAAUAGAAAAAAAUAAAUGGAAUUUCAAAUAUACUAGCUAGGUUAUCCCCAAUAGAUCCAUGUUGUAACUCUUCAGAAAAGGUGAAUAAAAUUUGGAUACAAAAUGAA